GAUGAACGCUGGCGGCGUGCUUAACACAUGCAAGUCGAACGAUGAAGCCCAGCUUGCUGGGUGGAUUAGUGGCGAACGGGUGAGUAACACGUGAGUAACCUGCCCUUAACUCUGGGAUAAGCCUGGGAAACUGGGUCUAAUACCGGAUAGGAGCUCCUACCGCAUGGUGGGUGUUGGAAAGAUUUAUCGGUUUUGGAUGGACUCGCGGCCUAUCAGCUUGUUGGUGAGGUAAUGGCUCACCAAGGCGACGACGGGUAGCCGGCCUGAGAGGGUGACCGGCCACACUGGGACUGAGACACGGCCCAGACUCCUACGGGAGGCAGCAGUGGGGAAUAUUGCACAAUGGGCGAAAGCCUGAUGCAGCGACGCCGCGUGAGGGAUGACGGCCUUCGGGUUGUAAACCUCUUUCAGUAGGGAAGAAGCGAAAGUGACGGUACCUGCAGAAGAAGCACCGGCUAACUACGUG
rnacentral:rRNA from 1 species